rnacentral:RNase_P_RNA from 2 species
GACAGAGGAAACUCAUCAGCGGGGCCACGUGCUGAGUGCCCGUCACUCCCCAGCUCCUGGGAAGGUCUGAGACUGGGGUCUCCUGAGGCCCUAACCAGGCCCUCCCCAAGCUGGGAGGGGAGUUCCCAGAGAGCAGAGCUCCAUGCGUGGACAGUAUUGUGGGCUCACCUCUACAUUUAUUAUUACCAGCUCUUAACUUCUUUAUUCUAUAGUAGAACAUGGUUUAAAAUAACAGUAGCGCUGGGCGUUGGUGGC